UUAAUACUUCCUCCGUCCUAAAAUUAUUGUCUUAAGUUUGUCUAAAAAUGAAUGUACCUAAAUACUAAAACAUGACUAGAUACAUUUAUAUUUAGACAAAUCUAAGAUAAAUUUUUUAGGACGGAGGGAGUAUGAA
rnacentral:pre_miRNA from 1 species